rnacentral:rRNA from 1 species
GAUGAACGCUGGCGGCGUGCUUAACACAUGCAAGUCGAACGAUGAAGCCCAGCUUGCUGGGUGGAUUAGUGGCGAACGGGUGAGUAACACGUGAGUAACCUGCCCUUAACUCUGGGAUAAGCCUUGGAAACUGGGUCUAAUACCGGAUAGGAGCGUCCACCGCAUGGUGGGUGUUGGAAAGAUUUAUCGGUUUUGGAUGGACUCGCGGCCUAUCAGCUUGUUGGUGGGGUAAUGGCUCACCAAGGCGACGACGGGUAGCCGGCCUGAGAGGGUGACCGGCCACACUGGGACUGAGACACGGCCCAGACUCCUACGGGAGGCAGCAGUGGGGAAUAUUGCACAAUGGGCGAAAGCCUGAUGCAGCGACGCCGCGUGAGGGAUGACGGCCUUCGGGUUGUAAACCUCUUUCAGUAGGGAAGAAGCGAAAGUGACGGUACCUGCAGAAGAAGCACCGGCUAACUACGUG